AAUCAACGCUGGCGGCGUGCCUCAGACAUGCAAGUCGAACGCGAAAGUUUCCUUCGGGAAGCGAGUAGAGUGGCGCACGGGUGAGUAACACGUAAGUAAUCUACCCUUGGGUGGGGAAUAACAUCGGGAAACCGAUGCUAAUACCGCAUAAUGCAGCGGCUUCAUAUGAAGACAGUUGUUAAAGCAUUUAUGUGCCUGAGGAGGAGCUUGCGGCAGAUUAGCUAGUUGGUAAGGUAAUGGCUUACCAAGGCGACGAUCUGUAGCCGACCUGAGAGGGUGGUCGGUCACACUGACACUGAAUAACGGGUCAGACUCCUACGGGAGGCAGCA
rnacentral:rRNA from 1 species